AGCGAACGCUGGCGGCAGGCUUAACACAUGCAAGUCGAGCGGGCAUCUUCGGAUGUCAGCGGCAGACGGGUGAGUAACACGUGGGAACGUACCCUUCGGUUCGGAACAACUCUGGGAAACUGGAGCUAAUACCGGAUACGCCCUUAUGGGGAAAGGUUUACUGCCGAAGGAUCGGCCCGCGUCUGAUUAGCUAGUUGGUGGGGUAACGGCCUACCAAGGCGACGAUCAGUAGCUGGUCUGAGAGGAUGAUCAGCCACACUGGGACUGAGACACGGCCCAGACUCCUACGGGAGGCAGCAGUGGGGAAUAUUGGACAAUGGGCGCAAGCCUGAUCCAGCCAUGCCGCGUGAGUGAUGAAGGCCUUAGGGUUGUAAAGCUCUUUUGUCCGGGACGAUAAUGACGGUACCAGAAGAAUAAGCCCCGGCUAACUUCGUG
rnacentral:rRNA from 1 species